rnacentral:rRNA from 1 species
GAUGAACGCUAGCGGCAGGCCUAACACAUGCAAGUCGAGGGGUAACAGGGAGAAGCUUGCUUUUCCGCUGACGACCGGCGCACGGGUGCGUAACGCGUAUACAAUCUGCCUUAUACUGGGGUAUAGCCUUUAGAAAUGAAGAUUAAUCCCCCAUAGUCUCUUAGAGUGGCAUCAUUUUAGGAGUAAAGGAAACGGUAUAAGAUGAGUAUGCGUUCUAUUAGUUUGUUGGUGAGGUAACGGCUCACCAAGGCUACGAUAGAUAGGGGCCCUGAGAGGGGGAUCCCCCACACUGGUACUGAGACACGGACCAGACUCCUACGGGAGGCAGCAGUGAGGAAUAUUGGACAAUGGAGGCAACUCUGAUCCAGCCAUGCCGCGUGCAGGAAGACUGCCCUAUGGGUUGUAAACUGCUUUUAUAUAGGAAGAAACCUACUUACGUGUAAGUAGCUGACGGUACUAUAAGGAUAAGGAUCGGCUAACUCCGUGCCAGCAGG